rnacentral:rRNA from 1 species
AACGAACGCUGGCGGCAUGCCUAACACAUGCAAGUCGAACGAGACCUUCGGGUCUAGUGGCGCACGGGUGCGUAACGCGUGGGAACCUGCCUUUAGGUUCGGAAUAACUCAGAGAAAUUUGAGCUAAUACCGGAUAAUGUCUUCGGACCAAAAGAUUUAUCGCCUUUAGAUGGGCCCGCGUAAGAUUAGCUAGUUGGUGGGGUAAAAGCCUACCAAGGCGACGAUCGGUAGCUGGUCUGAGAGGAUGAUCAGCCACAAUGGGACUGAGACACGGCCCAUACUCCUACGGGAGGCAGCAGUGGGGAAUUUUACGCAAUGGGCGAAAGCCUGACGUAGCGACACCGCGUGAGCGAAGAAGCCCCUUGGGGUGUAAAGCUCUGUCAGCUGGAACGAAAAAAAAAUGACGGUACCAGCAGAAGAAGCAUCGGCU